AUGGCAAGGUUCUCAGAGCAUAGAGCGCCAUGUCUGCUACUCCUUGUGUUUCUUCUCCACUCAUCUCUGCGAUUGCAGCUGUCGCAAGGGCUCGAACAAAGACGGGUAUACAUCGUCUACCUUGGGCAGAGGCAACAUGAAGAUGUCAGUCUCGUCACCUCUUUGCACCACGACUUGCUCGCUUCCGUUCUCGGAAGCAAGGAGGCGGCUCUCGAAUCGAUUGUCCACAGCUACAGAUAUGGUUUCUCGGGCUUUUCUGCAAUGCUUACUGAAUCACAAGCGAGAAAGAUCCAGACGCUGCCUGGAGUGGUGAGUGUGAAAGAGAACACAAUGGUACGCAUGCAUACUACUCGGAGCUGGGAUUUCCUUGGGCUGUCCAUGGGCGUGGACAUCAAGCAGGAGCAGCAGCCAAAUGAGCUCCUUGCAGCAGCAAACCAUGGAGAUGGGAUGAUAAUCGGUGUCAUCGACUCAGGUGUUUGGCCUGAGUCACAGAGCUUCGCUGAUGAUGGCUAUGGACCUCCUCCUUCAAAAUGGAAGGGAACUUGCCAAGCCGGUGCCAACUUCAGUGCCCACGAUUGCAAUCGAAAGCUCAUCGGUGCGCGGUGGUAUGCUGGCGCUGACAUCGACAGGAGAUCUCUCCAAAGUGACUUCCUGUCUGCCAGGGAUUCUCAUGGCCACGGCACCCACACAGCCUCCACAGCCGGUGGCAACGUCGUCCACAACACCAGCUUCUUCGGACUGGCUGCUGGAACGGCUCGUGGUGGCGCACCUCGCGCCCGGAUAGCAGUGUACAAGGCUUGCUGGGGUUCUUGCUCUAUCGCGAGCGUUCUGAAAGGCAUCGAUCAUGCUAUCCAUGACGGUGUUGACGUCCUAUCGCUCUCUCUCGGAAGCACGAACGAAAUGGCAGCACUAGGAACGCUGGGUGCGGUGGCAAGAGGCAUCCCGGUUAUCAUGGCAGGCGGAAAUGAUGGACCUACAGAAGAAACGGUGGAGAAUUCUUCACCAUGGCUACUCACGGUUGCUGCAACCACGGUUGAUCGAUCAUUCCUCACGGUUAUCACCCUCGGGGAUAACCGACAGUUUGUGGCACAAUCCAUGUAUGUGGCAGAUAAAGGUGGAGAUGAGUUCUCUGAACUUCUGUAUUACUUUAAGGAUAGGUGUGACCCGGACUACAUAAACAGCACUGACAUACACGGGAAGGUGGUAUUCUGCUACACACCAGGACCGGGUAGUGUCUCUGCACCACCCAAGUAUGCAGAUAUUGCAGCGACGGUGCAGAGAAAUGGAGGGAAGGGAUUUAUAUUCUCACAGAAUAAUCUGGACUCUCUUGAUCUAUAUGCAAUUAAAGGACCGGCCCUUCCUUGCGUUCCUCUCGAUUUCAAGACUAGCUAUCAAUCGCAUUGGCAUCCCAAAAAUAAAGAUAUCUACAACCCGAACAAUAGCAGCUUUGGUAAAUAG
rnacentral:rRNA from 1 species